rnacentral:lncRNA from 1 species
AUGAGAGUCAUCUUGUUGUUCCACGAGAUUGAAAACUUUGUCAUUUAGCAUUCAUAUCCAUUGAUACCCAAUUCAUCCGUAUAUCCAUUUAAAAUAAGCAGCUAUAAAUUUUUAACACCCAAUUGGUAUUUAUAUCCAUAUUUGUAUAUACCAAAAAGGAAUGGCAGGCGUAUGGAUGCCAUGUCCAAUUUAUGGACUACUUAUAGUCAACUCAACCAAUGAUAUAAACCGGUUGUCAUAAUGUAGUACAACUUCUGCGCUCAAAAUCAAUUAGGCUAGAGAUUAAAAUACAGAAUUCCAAAAAACAACUAGCAGCAAGAACAUAUGAUACGAUUAAUUUGCACCAAAUAUUUUUUUUAAUUAAUCAUGAAUAACUCGUGAAUAAAUCAUAGAAAUUCUCGUACAGAUUGAAAAUAAUUAAAUAGUUUGAAUCAAUUCAUUUAUGGAGAACAAUUUAAACAAACAUUUCACCAAGGAAAAACAAUUCAAUAACUUAUCAAUAACCUGGCGAGUAUAGAAACUAUGCAUCACACAGAAACCAACACCUUGCUUCUCAAAAAACAUACUUUAUAAAACAAUAGUUUCAUGACAAAAUCCUUGCUUUACAGAACCACUUUGCAUGAAAAUCUUAGUUUAAAUAAGCCUUCAAUGGAGAAAUUCCUCUGUAGCAACUUUCAAAGAGGGCCUGCAGCAGGCUAAGAUGAGGAUUCUCAGUUAAUUCAUCAAGUCAGAUCUCAAACAACAAAAAAAUUUAUGUACCAAAAAAACCAAUAAAUUUUUGUUUUGCUAAUACUAAGAUUACUCUUUGGAAUCUAAGGUCCCGGAUGGUUGUUGAUUGUAUCUGGGUCUUUUGUUCAUUAACUCAAUCACUCAAACACCAAUACGUUCAAUCUUUUGCCAUUGAGUUCAUCAACCAAAAUGGGCGUGACGUCUAUGGCACCUCUUGUUUGAUGUAAUGCUCGCAAAAUUUUGAACCAUCUCCAAGCCAUGAACCACAACAUUCAGAAGAACUGAUGGUUAGCAAUAACCUUCAGGGCUUUUGAAAUACAAGAAAGCACCGCAUAUCCUUCCUUUCUAAAAAUUCUAAGGAUAUGGAAUGGUCAAUAAUGAGACCUUUCAUCUGAUCUAAUUGGAUCAGAUAAAAGAGUCCAUGAGAGCAAACUUUAAACCCCUCAAUCGAACAAUGACUUAUCACAAGAUUUUUUUUUUAAGAAAAAGAACAAAAGGAAAAGAAAAUAGAAAAAUUAUCAGAUAAAU